GACAGAGGGUGCAAACGUUGCUCGGAAUCACUGGGCUUAAAGGGCGCGUAGGCGGGCCGACGAGCCAGGGGUGAAAUCCUCCAGCUUAACUGGAGAACAGCCUUUGGGACCGGCGGCCUCGAGGGGUGCAGGGGCAUGCGGAACUCAGGGUGGAGCGGUGAAAUGCGUAGAGAUCCUGAGGAACACCGGUGGCGAAAGCGGCGUGCUGGACACCUACUGACGCUGAGGCGCGAAAGCCAGGGGAGCGAACGGG
rnacentral:rRNA from 1 species